rnacentral:tRNA from 1 species
GUAAAUAUAGUUUAUUAAAACCCUAGAUUGUGAAUCUAAAAAUAGAAGCUAAUAUCUUCUUAUUUACC